CGUGAGCAAAAUCAUCAUCGUCAUAGUCAGCCGACGCAAAGAAACAAAGCUCGCCGCCACAAAACCGAGAGCCGCCGCCGCCGGCCAUGCUGCUCCUAACACUAAGACCCCGCAGGCGCCUGCUGCAGCUGCUACUGCUGAUCUCCGCCGCUGCGACAAUCAGUGCAGCAGCAGCCUUGUAUUCGUCAUACCAUGGCGAGGACGAGAGAGCUCUUCUGGCUUUCAAGGCCAAAUUCUCCAGCGACUCUGGUGCGCUGGCCUCCUGGAACCAGAGCACCAGCUACUGCAGCUGGGAUGGCGUCACCUGCAGCAGGAGGCACCGGUGGAGGGUGGUCGCUCUGGACCUCAGCUCCCAGGGGCUCGCCGGCACCAUCUCUCCUGCUAUCGGUAACCUCACUUUCCUACACUCGCUGAACCUGAGCUCCAACUGUCUGCAGGGAGAGAUCCCUCCCAGCAUCGGUUCCCUGAGGCGCCUUCAGCGCAUUGACCUGGGCUUUAACAUGCUCACCGGCAUCAUCCCGAGCAACAUUAGCCGUUGCAUCAGCCUCCGUGAGAUGCACAUCUACAGCAACAAGGGAGUCCAAGGAAUCAUCCCAGCUGAGAUUGGCAACAUGCCAUCGCUUUCAGUCCUAAAGCUGUCAAACAACAGCAUUACCGGAACUAUCCCAUCUUCUCUCGCAAACCUUUCAAGGCUGACCGAGUUGGCCUUGUCAGAUAACUAUCUUGAGGGAUCAAUCCCUGCAGGCAUCGGGAACAAUCCCUAUCUCGGUUUCCUUGAGCUCUCCCGUAAUAAUCUCUCCGGUUUGCUCCCUCCUUCCCUGUUCAACCUGUCAUCUCUUUAUUACUUUUUUGCGUCUGUCAAUCAGCUCCAGGGUCAUCUACCAUCUGACCUGGGGAGAAGCCUUCCGAGCAUCCAACAGCUUGGGAUUGUAGAAAACCGAUUUACUGGAGCUCUUCCACUGUCGCUAACCAAUCUCUCUAGGCUCCAGAGUCUUCACGCCGGAUCCAAUAGUUUUAAUGGAAUCGUUCCUUCCGCAUUGGGAAAAUUGCAAAAUCUUGAACUGUUUACUAUGGGUAAUAACAUGUUAGAAGCAAACAAUGAGGAAGAGUGGGAAUUUAUUGGUUCUUUGGCGAAUUGUAGCAGAUUACAAGUACUGGCCUUUGGAUGGAACAGAUUUGCAGGAAAACUUCCAGGCUCGUUGGUUAAUCUAUCUACUAAUCUCCAUAUGCUGCAGAUUUCCAACAACAACAUAUCCGGUGUCAUCCCAUCAGAUAUUGGAAAUUUGGAAGGUCUUGAGAUGCUUGAUUUUGGGAAAAACUUACUCACUGGGGUCAUUCCUGAAAGCAUUGGGAAGCUUAUAGGAUUGCAGCAGCUAGGCCUCAAUUCAAACUACCUCUCAGGACAUCUACCAUCCUCCAUCGGAAACCUUUCUAGACUACUUCUACUUUAUGCAGACGACAACAGCUUUGAGGGUCCAAUUCCACCAAGCAUUGGAAACUUGAUCAAACUUUUAGCCCUAGAUCUGUCAAAUAGCAAUUUUACUGGAUUGAUUCCUAAGGAAAUUAUGGAGCUGCCAUCUAUCUCAAUGUUUCUCAAUUUGUCCAACAACAAGCUGGAGGGACCACUUCCAUUAGAAGUCGGUAGUUUGGUAUAUCUCGAAGAGCUCUUCCUAUCAGGAAACAAUUUGUCAGGUGAAAUACCUGACACUUUUGGCAACUGCAAACUCAUGCAAAUCCUCUUAAUGGAUGACAAUUCAUUUGAAGGAAGUAUCCCUGCUACAUUCAAGAACAUGGCAGGCUUGACUGUACUUAAUUUGAUGAACAACAAAUUGAAUGGAAGCAUCCCUAGCAACCUGGCUACUCUUACGAACCUACAGGAGUUAUAUCUUGGCCACAACAAUUUAUCCGGAGCAAUCCCAGAGGUUUUAGGUAAUUCAACAUCGCUGCUUCAUCUGGAUUUGUCCUACAACAAUUUGCAAGGUGAAGUACCAAAAGGAGGAGUCUUCAAAAAUCUAACUGGACUAUCAAUUGUUGGUAACAAUGCGUUAUGUGGGGGGAUACCACAGCUCCAUUUGCCAAAAUGCUCAAGCUUUUAUUUAAGAAAGAACAAGAAAGGCAUAUCCAAGUUUCUUAGAAUAGCAAUCCCAACAAUAGGAAGUCUCAUCUUACUUUUCCUGGUUUGGGCUGGAUUUCACCGCAGAAAGCCUAGGAUAGUACCGAAGAAAGAUUUGCCACCACAAUUUACGGAGAUAGAGCUUCCGAUAGUUCCCUACAAUGAUAUAUUGAAAGGAACAGAUGGAUUUUCUGAAGCAAAUGUGCUUGGAAAGGGAAGAUAUGGUACAGUUUACAAGGGCACAUUAGAAAAUCAAGCCAUUGUCAUUGCCGUAAAGGUGUUUAAUGUCCAGCAAUCAGGGUCCUACAAAAGCUUCCUCACUGAAUGUGAGGCACUAAGAAGAGUGAGGCAUCGUUGCCUUCUAAAGAUCAUUACAUGUUGUUCUAGCAUCAACCACCAGGGUCAAGACUUUAGAGCACUAGUCUUUGAGUUCAUGACUAAUGGCAGCCUAGAUGGAUGGGUCCACUCAAACUUGAAUGGCCAAAAUGGACAUAGAAUACUCAGUUUGUCACAGAGGAUGGUUAUCGCCGUGGACAUUAUGGAUGCUUUGGACUACCUUCACAAUGGUUGACAGCCAUCGAUCAUCCAUUGCGAUCUCAAGCCAAGUAACAUUCUUCUCAAUCAGGACAUGAGGGCUCGUGUUGGAGACUUUGGUAUUGCUACUAUUCUAGAUGAAGCAACAAGCAAACAUCCUACGAAUUUUGCGAGCACAUUAGGAAUAAAAGGUUCCAUCGGUUAUAUUGCUCCAGAAUAUGGAGAAGGUCUUGCGGUAUCGACUUGUGGUGACAUGUUUAGUCUUGGUAUCACCUUGCUAGAGAUGUUCACAGCAAAGAGGCCGACAGAUGAUAUGUUCAGAGAUGGUUUAAGCUUGCAUGGUUAUGCUGAGGCGGCUCUUCCUGACGAAGUUAUGGAGAUAGCAGAUUCCAACCUAUGGCUACAUGAUGAAGCAAGCAAUAACAAUGAUACAAGGCAUAUAAUGAGAACAAGGAAAUGUUUGUCCGCCAUCAUUCAGCUUGGUGUCCUUUGCUCAAAGCAAUUGCCCUCAGAGCGUUUGUCAAUAAGCGAUGCUACUGCAGAGAUGCAUGCUAUCAGAGAUAAGUAUAUUAGUGCUCAGAGAUGUCCAAUUGCACCAGAGUAACCACUACCUUUAUAUUGACUACCAUGUUUCCCCAAAUUUAUUACUCCAUAUGUAAUAUAUUUUCUUCUUUUGCGUGAGUUGUAGACCUUAUAUCAGCUGUACGGUGCUGUGUUGCCCAUAUCAUAGGCAGCAUCAUUCAUGAAUCACUGUAGAAAUGUUGAUUAUCCUGAGAAAAUUGCACAUUUAUGACUAGUUCGCACCUCAAAGUUGAACUUGAACCCCGCCAUUAAAAAAAAAGAUGAAUUGCAAAUUCCCCACUAAAACGAUCAGCCUUAGUCCAUUCCGUCAGUCACUGCUAUAGUGCUCUGCAUCAUGGAACCCUGUUUCAACCGUGGUCAGAU